GAUGAAGAACGCAGCGAAAUGCGAUAAGUAGUGUGAAUUGCAGAAUUCAGUGAAUCAUCGAAUCUUUGAACGCACAUUGCGCCCUUUGGUAUUCCUUAGGGCAUGCCUGUUCGAGCGUCAUUUGAAACCUCAAGCUCAGCUUGGUGUUGGGUGUCUGUCCCCGCCUCACCGCGGGGACUCGCCUCAAAAUCAUUGGCGGCCGGUACGUUGGCUUCGAGCGCAGCAGAAACGCGAACUCGAGGCCCGGCGGAUCGGCGACCAGAAGUCACUUCUUCACAGUUUGACCUCGGAUCAGGUAGGGAUACCCGCUGAACUUAAGCAUAUCGAUAAGCGGAGGA
rnacentral:misc_RNA from 1 species